UGGGGAAUUUUGCACAAUGGGGGAAACCCUGAUGCAGCGACGCCGCGUGAUUUAGAAGGCCUUCGGGUUGUAAAAAUCUUUUUUACGGGAUGAAAAUGACAGUACCGUAAGAAUAAGGUCCGGCUAAAUACGUGCCAGCAGCCGCGGUAAUACGUAUGGACCGAGCGUUGUCCGGAAUCAUUGGGCGUAAAGGGUACGUAGGCGGCCUAGUAAGUUAGAAGUGAAAUAAUAUAGCUCAACUAUAUAAAGCUUUUAAAACUGCUAGGCUUGAGAGAUGGAAGGGAAAGUGGAAUUCCUAGUGUAGCGGUGAAAUGCGCAGAUAUUAGGAAGAAUACCGGUGGCGAAGGCGACUUUCUGGUCAUCAUCUGACGCUGAAGUACGAAAGCGUGGGUAGCAAACAGG
rnacentral:rRNA from 1 species